rnacentral:tRNA from 1 species
GCAGUGAUGGUUCAGUGGUGUAAUUCUCUCCUUCUAAGUGGGAGACCUGGGUUCGAUUCCCAGCCAGUGUA